rnacentral:rRNA from 1 species
GACGAACGCUGGCGGCGUGCUUAACACAUGCAAGUCGAACGGUGAAGCGCCUUCCUUUUUGGUGGGUGUGGAUGAGUGGCGAACGGGUGAGUAACACGUGAGUAACCUGCCCCCUUCUUCUGGAUAACCGCAUGAAAGUGUGGCUAAUACGGGAUAUUCUGGGUCUGUCGCAUGAUGGGUCUGGGAAAGAUAUUGUUUCGGUGGGGGAUGGGCUCGCGGCCUAUCAGCUUGUUGGUGGGGUGAUGGCCUACCAAGGCGGUGACGGGUAGCCGGCCUGAGAGGGUGGACGGUCACACUGGGACUGGGACACCGCCCAGACUCCUACGGGGGGCAGCAGUGGGGAAUAUUGCACAAUGGGCGCAAGCCUGAUGCAGCGACGCCGCGUGGGGGAUGGAGGCCUUCGGGUUGUGAACCUCUUUCGCCAGUGAAGCAGGCCUGCCUCGUUUGUGGGUGGGUUGACGGUAGCUGGAUAAGAAGCGCCGGCUAACUACGUG